GUCCAAUUAUCUCAUAAUAUUAAAAGUUAAAACUCUCAUUUUCAGAAACCUUGGAAGCUACAAUGGUGGAAAUUUUCCUGAGGCCUUAAUUUCAAGGGCAUGAGUAGCUAGUGAACCCUAAACUUUAUACCUAACACAGUUGAGAGUGAAUUGGCGAAUGCUAUUUUACCUAUCUACUAACAAGGUAUGAAAGGUGAAAGAACAAUCCUGCUCUAUCAGAGGGAACCUUCAGAAAAUUAGAGCACUUAUUUUCUGUGCUUCAGCAUGCGGUGAAGACGCAAUUCUUUUGACAGGAUGGUCACUUGAAAAUUCGUAAUAGUGCAUUAAAGACCAAUUUUGAUGUGUUAACACUUAACAUUCUUGGUUUGUCUUUUAUGUUAAUGGUUUGAGUUGGAUACAGUCUUCCAUUUCUUCUAAUCAUUUCGCUGUUCGGAUCCCUUCUUGUUUCGUCACUACACCUUUGCAAGGCAAAAAGCUCUUGCUGUUUAUCCUUGACAGGGUUCAAAAGUGUCUUUUUUUUGUUUGUUUCUUUUUUCCCCAUUUGUUUUCUCUCAGUUGGGAUAUUAAUGUGUUGUUUUAUACUGUGCAAACCAUCUUGCAGAAAAGGAGAUUUGAGUUGUUAAAUUUGAAUGGUGCUACCGGAUUUGAGAUGUGGCCUCAUCAGAUUCGGACGGCUGAUUUAUUGUCACAAUAUAACUUAAGUGUGCGCCGAUGACAUGCUGGGGAGGUCGAUAGAGACUCACUCUUGGGUAGGAGCGUUGGGGAUCUCCCGAGGAGGGUUGCCGCCAAUUGAGAUUUUUCUGAACCCAUGAGGAUUUAAACCCUCAACCUAUGAGGAGGUGAGAGUUGAACUCGGAACCUGUGACCAGUUGUGCCAACCCAAGUUGUGGUCCAUACUCUCAAGGUUGAAUGGGGAUAUUUGUUUCAUAAAAUGCUUCUUGUUAAUAGUCUUUGGAACUCUGGCCUAUGUCAUAAAUAAGUGAGUUAGAGAGACUAUUGGGUAUCUUUGUAUUCACUUUAGAAUUAGGGUUUGGAGAGCAUUGAAUCUUUCUAGUUCUAGGGAGGGUAUUUGAAUCCUCUCCUUGUAUCUUUCUCCCAAUUUCUAUUUGGAAAUUAGGUUUUACCAUUCAAUAAUAUCAUAUUU